UACUGCCAGUGGUGGAUCACUCGGCUCGCUGGUCGAGGAAGAACGCAGCUAGCUGCGUUAAUCGGUGUGAAAUGCAGGACACUCCGAUCACUCGACAUUCGAACGCACAUUGCAGCCAUUGGAUAGCCGAUGGCUUCGUUUGUCUGAGCGUCG